rnacentral:lncRNA from 1 species
GUUUAUUGAAAUUAUAACAGGAACUCAUAAAAGAGUCGGUUUGGGCCAUCCAGGAUAGCAAUUCAAUGUGUUAAAUAUUUAAUUGGUCCCUAUUAACCAACUUUGGGAAGUCUCCUUUCCUUCAAAGCAGGAAGAAAGCUUCCAGCCUCUCUCAGGAGCUUAGAACACCUGCAUGGGGCUGGGUGUGGUGGCUCAUGCCGAUUAAAAUUUCACAUGGUGUUCUAAUUAAAUAUUUUUCUUGCAGCCAAGAUAUUGUUACUACAGAUUACACAACCUGAUAUGGUAACUUUGAAUUUUGGGGGCUUUGAAUCAUUCAGUUUAUGCAUUAACUAGUCCCUUUGUUUAUCUUUCAUUUCUCAACUCCUUGUGCUUUGGUGAUACCAGACAUCAGAAUAAAAAGAAAUUGAAGUACCUGUUUUCAAAUGGAUACUUUAUAGGAAUUUUGGUAAAGAUUUGGUGAUGGGAGGAUGACUUGAGGUUUGUGGAUAUUAGUUAAUUAUUCAGUAUGAUACCUCACCCAGCUAAUUUAGAUUUUUCUAUAUUCGGUUUUGCUUUCAUUGACAAUUAAUAUCCUGGAGGAUCAGAAGACUUGUCUAUUUCUGCUGAGUCACUGGCCUCAGAAAAAUAAUAACCAUAAUUUCCCCCAAGGUUUUCUUUACCUAAGUGUGAAUAUUUUUUCUUC